rnacentral:rRNA from 1 species
AUACACUUGGCAAUUAGUAUAUUAAGCGUUUAUAUCAAGAGUACAUAUAAACACGGUGCAGUAGAUAGUACGGGUUAAUAUAAACAAUUAUAGAGCAAGGGGGGUAAUAGGGUGCCAGCCCCCGCGGUUAAACCCUACACCUUUAUCUAAAUUUUUUAGUGAAAAAGAGAAAGAGAAACUUAAGAAAAAAAGUUCCCUUUAUUUUGGUGAAAUAAAUAAAUUGUUGACCUUGUUUUUGGUUCUUAGAAACUUUUUUCUUGAAAGCCUGAAGAAGAGACAGGGAUUAGAGACCCCUUUAUUUAUGGUGUCUUUUAUUUGCGGGGACUAUGAACAAAACGUUUAAAAACCAAGAGGCUUGGCGGUUCAUUAAAUCCGUUUUUAAGGGAACUUGGCGGUUAAACCGAUGUUCCUCGAGGACUUUACCUUUUUCUUUCUUAACAUACCGCCGUUGACAAUUUACCCCGAAAGGUGUGUUGUAAGUAAAAAAUAUAAAUUAAACUUUAGAAAUAUAUUUAAAUUCAGGUAAACGUGUUGGUUAUAAAAAGGGCUUAGCUGAGUUACAUUUGUAAAACAUAUCGGAGAAAAACAUGAAACUGUUUUAUGAAGAAGUACUUUUUAGUAAUUAUUUCUAGUAAGGAAUAAUGAAUAGUGUUUUAAUGUGCGUACAAAUCGCCCGGUAGUCUCCGCAUAGGAGCUUUUAAGUAUAAAGCGGGAUAAGCCGUAACAUAGUAAUGCUACUAUAAAGUGGUGUUGUGUAUAU